rnacentral:rRNA from 1 species
AUUGAACGCUGGCGGCAUGCCUUACACAUGCAAGUCGAACGGUAACAGGUUAAGCUGACGAGUGGCGAACGGGUGAGUAAUGUAUCGGAACGUGCCCAGUCGUGGGGGAUAACUGCUCGAAAGAGCAGCUAAUACCGCAUACGACCUGAGGGUGAAAGCGGGGGAUCGCAAGACCUCGCGCGAUUGGAGCGGCCGAUAUCAGAUUAGGUAGUUGGUGAGGUAAAGGCUCACCAAGCCGACGAUCUGUAGCUGGUCUGAGAGGACGACCAGCCACACUGGGACUGAGACACGGCCCAGACUCCUACGGGAGGCAGCAGUGGGGAAUUUUGGACAAUGGGCGCAAGCCUGAUCCAGUCAUGCCGCGUGCGGGAAGAAGGCCUUCGGGUUGUAAACCGCUUUUGUCAGGGAAGAAAAGGUUCUGGCUAAUACCUGGGACUCAUGACGGUACCUGAAGAAUAAGCACCGGCUAACUACGUG